GCUGGGUGUGGAGGUGGGCACCUGUAAUCCCAGCUGCUCAGGAGGCUGAGGCAGGAGAAUCGCUUGAGCCCAGGAGGCGGAGGUUGCAGUGAGCUGAGAUCACGUCACUGUACUCCAACCUGGGUGACAGAGUGAGAUCCUGUCUCAA
rnacentral:SRP_RNA from 1 species